CUAAAACACCGAUAAGGGUAUACGGUGGAUGCCUUGGCACAAAAAGCCGAUGAAGGACGCAGGAGCCGGCGAAACGCCUCGGGGAGCUGGCAAACAAGCUUUGAUCCGGGGAUGUCCGAAUGGGGAAACCCUGUCUCGACAAAUCGAGAUAGCUCUCGUACGUGGUGUGCGAGUUGCGGGAACCAUGCGAAGUGAAACAUCUCAGUAGCAUGAGGAAAAGAGAACAAGGGUAACUUUUUAGCUUUAUAGUUUCUUUAGCUUUUUAGGAAGUCUAUUUCUAGAUUUCCAGAUUUCCUAAGAAGCUAUUUUACAAAGCUAAUCAGUUAUCAUAUUCCCCUAGUAGUGGCGAGCGAACGGGGAAAAGUCUAAACUUCAUUCAUGUUGGGAGUAGAGUUCCGAUUUAUCGGAACUAUGCUUCCUUAAAGAUUACAGUCGUUGUGAGUGUUGUGUUGAAAGACCAGUCAGUCCGCCUCUGUAAAGGCGGAGGAAAUUCGUUUUGAGCUGCCUAGUAGAACACGCCUGGAAAGGCGGACCAAAGAGGGUGAUAGUCCCGUACGCGAAAGGUCUCAAAUGUUCCAGAUUGGUUCUUGAGUACUACGAGACACGUGCAAGCUCGUAGGAAACCAGGUCGUCUACGAUCUAAGACUAAAUACUUUUUGUGACCGAUAGUGAACUAGUACCGUGAGGGAAAGGUGAAAAGUAGCCCGGUGAGGGCGAUGAAAUAGAACCUGAAACCGUAUAUCUACAACGAGUGGAAGUCCUGACCUCGAUUUUUUCGGGGUGGACGACCGCGUGCCUAUUGAAGAAUGACCCGACGAGUUAUCUUGCAUCUUUUGUCUAAGCCCCCAAAAAGGGCGGAGGCAUAGGGAAACCGAGUGUUAAAAGCGCGAUCCAUAGAAGGUGCAGGAUAGACCCGAAACCCGGUGAGCUACUCAUGGCCAGGAUGAACCCGCAGUAACAUGCGGGGGAGGUCCGAACCCACUAUUGUUGCAAAAAUAGGGGAUGAGCUGUGAGUAGGGGAGAAAUUCCAAUCGAACUGGGUGAUAGCUGGUACUCCUCGAAAUAGCUUUAGGGCUAGCCUUUCGCGUACGUUUUGGGGGUAGAGCACUGGAUUCGUUACUGCGGAGCAAUCCGUAGUGCGGAACCAAACUCCGAAUACCAAAACAAUUGCGAGGGAGUCAGACCGUGAGGUCUAAGCUUCAUGUGUCUAAAGGGGAAGAACCCAGAUCGUCAUUUAAGGUCCCUAAAUCCAAGCUAUAGUGUAAAGGAUGUUUUUGUCCCCAGACAGGUAGGAGGUUGGCUUAGAGGUAGCCAUCCUUUAAAAAGUGUGUAACAACUUACUACUCGAUCUCCCGACCUCGUGUCGGGACGGGACAGGGGCGCCGACAAUGUAACGGGACUAAGCUUGGUACCGAAAAUACGAAUUCUCCGACUUUAUUGUCGGAGUCUGGUAGAGGAGCAUUGUUGGCUGCAGUGAAGCGGUAUGCGCGAGCGGCCGUGGAGCGCCAACAAGAGAGAAUGUUGGGAUAAGUAGUUUUUAUGCAGGUGAGAAUCCUGCACGCCGAAAAUCCAAGGUUUCCUGGGCAAUGAUUAUCAGCCCAGGGUUAGCCGGGCCUAAGCGUGGUGCCGACCGGUGCCUCGCGAUGGAAAAGACGGUUGAUAUUCCGUCGCUACCGCCUAAAUUAUCAAGAAGUAACGCAUCAUGGUAGGAUGAGCAGGAUCUGACUAUUUCUGUUUUCGAAUUUGUAGAGUGAUUUUCCAGGCAAAUCCGGAAAAUCUGUUCUGACGCAAGUUGGAGCGAACUCGAGAGUUUGAGAAAAUCCCGCAAGGGAGAUUUGUCUGACCCAAGGUGCCCAGAAAAACUUCGUGGUUUCAUGUUAGGUGGUAUCCGUACCGCAAACCGACUCUGGUGGAUGAGGAGAGUAUCCUCAGGCGAACGGGCCAAUACUCGUUCAGGAACUCGGCAAAAAAGCGGCCGUACCUUCGGUAUAAGGCCUGCCCCGACGCAAGUCGGGGUCGAAGCGAAUGACCCCUCCCGACUGUUUAACAAAAACACAGGUCCGUGCUAAAGCUAAAAGCUGAUGUAUACGGGCUGAUGCCUGGCCAGUGUCAGAAGGUUAAACCCGCUAGCGCAAGCUGGUGGGCCAAGCCCUGAUGAACGCCGGCGGUAACUAUGAAAAUGACGUCGUAGUUAUAAAAUUUGGCUAUUUGCGGGAACAUCUGGUUAAGCUCAAAGUACUAGCUCGAAUGGGCAGUAAAAAUCUUUGGGAUACAGACAAUCCGCAGGAAAGACUCGCAAAAAUCCUCAAGGAGUAAAAUUCUAUGAGUGAUUCAUGGCUAAAAGCCAUAUCUCCCGAAAUUGGUUAUUAUUUAGCUGGUUUCGCGGAUGGUGAAGGGAGCUUCAAUGUCUCUCUUCGCAAAAGAGAUGACCAUAAAAUGCGGUGGCAAGUCGCUCCCUGUUUCAAUGUCUCACAAAGAGAUCCGACCAUUCUGGCUUUAUUCAAAAAGCAUAUGGGAUGUGGAAGAUUUGUGACUCGCAGGGAUGGAGUGCAUUAUUAUGUGGUGCAAAAUCCGACCGCAAUCACUGAAAGGGUUAUCCCUUUCUUCCAAAGGUUUAGGUUUCUAUCCUCUAAAAUGAAAAGAAACUUCAUGCUGUUUCAGCAGAUUAUCGAAUUGAUGAAUGAUAAAGGUCAUCUCAAUUCCGAUGGCUUGCUGAAAAUAAUCCAGAUCAGAGAGCUACUGAACUAUGGAAAAGCCCGAAAGAGAAAGUACAGCAUUAAUGAUUAUCAAGGAUUUUUAAGCGAGAAUCCUCAGAGACUAAACGCCAAACCUGUCGAUAAGACAGGAUGAUAUAGUCCGAUCUCAUGGGAGACCAUGAGCUAACAUCAAUGAACCGUCCUAUGGUAGAGGAAUUUACUUCAGAAAUGAAGGUUUUGCUGCCAUAGUAAAAUGUAGCUAUAUCGGAAAAACUCUCGACAAUGAGACAAUUCCGAGGGAAGACUUAUUACGUAUUUAAUUACGUAAUUCGAACCCGUAGAGACUAAUACGCUACACUCCGACUUCGGUCAGAGAAGAUAGAGUCCGAUCUGUAUGGCGACAUGCAGAGGUUAACAGAAAUGAUUAACCCCUCAAUGUAAAUUGAGAGUAACAAGCGAAGAGCGAAAUUCCUUGUCGUGUAAGUUACGACCUGCACGAAUGGCAUAACGAGUGGGGGACUGUCUUAACGAGUAGCCCGACGAAUUUGCAUUAUCGGUAAAGAUGCCGUUUACCCGCAGCAAGACGGAAAGACCCUAUGAAGCUUUACUAUAGCGUGUUAUUGGGUCAAGAUUUAUCUUGUUUAGAAUAGGUGGGAGACUUUGAAGUCCUGGCGCUAGCUGGGAUGGAGUCAUUAGUGAAAUACCACCCUAGGUGAAUUUUGAUUCUAACUUCGAUGUAACCUAUCGAAGGACAGUGGCUCGUGGGUAGUUUAACUGGGGCGGUUGCCUCCUAAAAGGUAACGGAGGCGUUUAAAGGUCAGCUAGGCGCGGAUGGAAAUCGCGCCGGUCGUGCAAACGCAUAAGCUGGCUUCACUGCAAGGCAAGCACGCCGCGCAGGCACGAAAGUGGAAGUUAGUGAUCCGACCAUCCAUAGUGGUAUGGUGGAAGCUCAACGGAUAAAAGCUACUCUAGGGAUAACAGGCUGAUCCUGCCCAAGCGUCCACAGCGACGGCAGGGUUUGGCACCUUAACUUAAAUCGGGGUGCUGGAGCAGUGAUGCUCUACCAAAUAUUCGGCUUAUAACGGUGAACCCGUAAUUAAAUUCCGUGGUAUAAUUUAGUUAGAAUUUAAUCGGCAAUACCGUGGGAAGUCUAAGUCAAGCUCAACAAUCUAUUCUAAUUGGAAGUCUCUUAGGAGACGGAGCCUUACGAUUAGCCAAAGGGAAAUUAAAUGCUCUAUUUGAAGUUAACCACACUGUCAAACAGAAGCUUUAUGUGGAUUGGAAGUACGAGAAUCUAAAGUCUUUCGUACUGACUGGUCCUAAAGCUCGGAAAGGAAACGGUAUGCGAAUAGCUUAUCGUUUCACGACGCAAAGUUUGCCAGUAUUUACUUCUCUACAUGAGCGUUUCUACCAGAAUAAUCACAAAAUUAUUCCAGCAGAUCUAAAAUUGGACCCUUUAGCUUUAGCAGUAUGGUUCAUGGACGAUGGAAGUAAAAGUCGCAGUUCAGUAUAUCUGAAUACUCAACAGUUUUCUCUUGAGGAUCAGAAAAAAUUAUUGAAUGCGCUCAAAAAGGGGUUCAAUCUCGAAGGGAGACUGAACAAAGACAAACAUUAUUUCCGAAUUAGAAUCACUACCAAAAGUACAAGACUGUUCAAAAGUAUUAUUAAGUCAUUUGUACUUCCUAUGUUUAGCUACAAGCUUGAUGAUGACCCCGUAACGACUGACUCGAAAGAGGAGAUUCGUUCACAAGGAACGAAUAAUACGCCGACGCUUGUCAAAAAAGUAGACUAAGGUUAUAAGAACCUAAUGUCACUGACAAGAUGAAGAUAUAGUCUACUCCAUAUGUAAGUAUGGAACAUCGUACGAUGUCGGCUCGUCGCAUCCUGGGGGUGAAGAAGCUCCCAAGGGUUUGGCUGUUCGCCAAUUAAAGCGGCACGCGAGCUGGGUUCAAAACGUCGUAAAUUUUUUGCGACCUUGAUGAGUAAUCAUCAAGAAAUAUUCGGCUAAUAACGGUGGAAUCCUUUAAUAUCUCCAAACGUAUUAAAGGGCUAUACCGUGGGAAGUCGCCUCACAGGCGACCCCGUAACGACUGACCCGAAAAGGGAAGACUUUGCAAAAUAUGCAAGGUAAUACGCCGACUCCUAUCAUUUGGAAAAAAGAUUAUGGUUUAAUAUUUAAACCUAAAAUCAAUCGAUAGGAUGAAGAUAUAGUCUGUACCAUUAGUAAUAAUGGAGUAAUACGGAGACAGUUUGGUCCUUAUCUGCUGUGGGCGUUCGAUACUUGAGAGGGCUCUCCGAUAGUACGAGAGGACCUCGGAGAAUAGGGCUCUGGUGUACCGGUUGUCCUGUCCAGGGCAUCGCCGGGUAGCUAAUCCCUAGUUUGGAUAAGCGCUGAAGGCAUAUAAGCGCGAAGCCGUCCUCAAGAUUAAGUGUCGUUUUCCCGACGCAAGUCGGGAAGGUAGGCUCGGGGGAGACGACCCCGCAUAUAGGCCACAGGUGUACGAUUCGUAAGAAUUUUAGCCGAGUGGUACUAAUCAGCCGAAAGUGUUUUAGAA
rnacentral:rRNA from 1 species